UGCACAGAGCUGCAGCAGUAAUCACGCAUCUCACUCAGAAAUCUGCUGAUGUUACAUCCUCAUGCGUCAAUGAUCAGUGUUUGCAGGUCCAAAUGGAUUAAAAUGAAAAUCGGCAAAGCAGCGGGGAUCACGGAACUCAUCUAACAAAGCAGAUAUCAGAAAAGAAAUAAUGACACACAUCUGUACUCUAUCCUUGCUGAGAUGAGAGGGAGUAAGAAUAGAACAAAUUUAAAAUUGCCUUUUUUCACCUUGUAAAAGGAACCCAGAAGAGUGCAGAAGAUGAACAAAUAUUUGGUGCGAGGAAAUUCAAGACCUCCUAAUUACUGAGUGGUAGUUCAUCUCAAUGACUUCUGGGAGGGGUGAAAGGAGAAAGAUAUAAUUCAAGAAAGUGAUCAUCAUCAUCAGAGUGGAGAUACAGAAUGUAAGAAUAAGCACAACCAUGUUUUCUGACAUCAGAUAAUGAAUAAUCCCUAACAAAAGGAUUUUCACUGGUCAGAGAGAGCUGGACUUUUGGUGUGCACAGAGCAGAGUAGAAGAAAGGAAAACAUAAACUGUGUUUUAGUAGAAAAAUAUUUCAUGAGAAGAAAUAAUGGAGACCAAGGAUAAUAUCAGCAAUCUCCCGUCUGCUAAAGAAAGCACUCAUGUUUUGCAGAAUGGUGGAUGCCUGCCAAACUUCGCAAUUGUUCCACAAGCCUGAAAAUAUGUGUAGUCAUUUUGAAACCUUCUGUUAUUCAAGACAACUCUGCAGAAUGCUCCCUCUUUG